GCAAAUGGCGACUUUAGUCGUCAAUGGCAGUGAAUGAGUUAAGAUGGUGUGUCUAUGCUUAUGGUGUGUUAAACCAGCUCUUCCCAGAACAAACUCGUUCUCAGCGGCCAUUACAACAUUACAUUACAUUACAUAACUUUAUUCAACAACAAAUUGAGGCCGUUUUAAAAUUAAUAACAUUAUAUGUUUAUGUUCUUUAGCCGUUUAAAAGCCAAAAGAAUCAGUUUCCCCACAUCCUCUUCUCUGUAGCCAUGAUGAGUUUACCAGGACAGAUGCUUGAAUACUUAUAUGGUGAAGAACACACUGCUACUCUCAGGCUCUCUCUCCUCCAUAUGUUACAUGGCUGUAAAAACCAGACCUGUAUUUUAUAUGCAGGGAUAAAGAGUAAAAACUACUGUUUUUUUUUUUGUAUCCAAGAAUGAAUUCCCAGAGGUGGGAUUUCUUUCAGCAUCAUUCCAACAGCCGCUCUCGCCCUCAAACAUUUUUAUUAUCAAUGCCAAAAAAGCAGCACAGCAAUAAAACCAGGCACAGACGAUAACCACCCUAUCAGAUGCAUGUGUGUCUUUGAAAAGUGAACUAAAGCUGUCAAACAAACAGAGAGAAUGCUUCAUAACAGCAGCAUGAACUUUAUUUUCUGUUUUGGAUUUCUGCUUUGAUCAAAUAUCUUCUAGGAAUGCUCCACACCAGCAUCCACGUGCCACUCAAGAUAAGAUCAACCAUCGCAGUCAGAAAAAGGUUAUUUCCCAGCUUCCGUACAACAUUCUGUAUUUUCCUCCUCAAGAUAACAAGCAUGACUUGAAUUAAAUAAAAAAAUUCCCCCGUGUUGGCUCCAAGCGCCUGUUUUUAAUUUGUACCUCCAGUGAAGGGAUUCAUUUCAUUUCACAGAAACAAACAUGCAAGAACGUCUGCUGGAGGUUUUUAACAGGUAGCGUGACAUUUACCUCCACCACAUCCACCGCAACACAUCUAAAGCUGUUUCACUUCUGCUCAUCGCUCUCACACGGGACAUCCUGUUGAGUACAUCUGCGUCUGCUGCUGCUGUCACUGUUCAGGUCUACACUCAUUACACGUGUCUGCCCAGGCCUCUCAGUCCUUCACAGGACAGAGUCCACGAACAAGAGGCCAGCCUGCAGCAGCGAACGUCUCUGAAGAGCACAUUACUUUUUAAAAAGCUGUUCUAGGCCACUGCCGUUCUUGAUAAUUACUGGGCCCAGGAGGAGGAUGCGGGUCGUGUGUGGUAAAAAGCUUCUGAACGGCACAUAUUUUUACCAUCCUGCUGAAAUGUUUCCAAAGCUCUGUUUGGCUGAGGAAGAAAACAAGACACUUUUAUGCGUCAAUUCCAUUCAGGAACCUCGUUAAACAGCUUCAGCCAUGAUCCAAAACUGUUCUUCACGAUCUCUUCUUCAACGUGCCUAUCUGCAAAAGAUAAAAGCAAAAAGCAUGAGUUUUGUGUUCAAACGUUAUGUCCCUGAACACUGAUAAGCGUCUAGGCUCAGUGGAAAUAACAAAUGCAUCACGCAGAACUGCGUGUCGCAGCUCCUGAGUGUGAAUGAGGUCAGUGAGUUGGAGAGCUUGAACAAUGCUUCAGGAGCUGUGGAGAAAGAGUCCCAGGACUCUGCUGUUAUCUGUUCUACAGACUCUGGGACAGCAGCCAGACUGAUGCCAUCUCAAGGAGAGGAACACAACCAAAAAGGCAGGAAAUUCCUGCUGCUCUUGCUCUCAUAUGCAGAAGAAAAUGCUCUUUAAAUAAGGCCAUUGUUUUGCAAACAGUUCUGAACAUGCAAGAAGUUCACUUAAGUGGAGAAUGUGUGAUCAGGACCAUUAGGAGAAUGCUGCAAGUGAAACAAAACAAGACAAAGUGACGUAACGUCGGGAGGUGCUGCUUGUGUAACUUGUUAAUUAUGACAGUAAGCACACCAUGUUGUAAGUUUCUCAGUAGUCUUUCAAUUCUAUUUUUCAUUGCGUCUCCAGGGGAUUGCACAUCAAGUUGGCCAAAUCAGGCGUUUUUCAAAUUCUCACAUUAAAGAUCUUUAAAGAGCAAGUCAACCCCUACCAGAUUCUAACUCCACUCUCACUUCAUGUUUGAAAAAUGCAACAAAUGCUGUUGCCUGGCAGACCGAGAGGGCGGAGCUGCUAACAAAUACACACACACACACACAGGCUCACAACAGCAUUGUGACAUCAUAAUGUACCAGAUGACAUCAUAGCAUACUUCUUAGCCAAUAGCGGUGGCAGAUUUAAAUUAAAAUACAGUGCAGAGUUUUUACCUGACAACGGCACAACACUGACAGUUUUAGGCAGAAUAUUUAAAUUUUAACUAAGAUGCACUGAAGUGCCAAAUUAUUGACGCCACGAGUCUGCAGCACGAUUAGACACUCAUUUAUUUAGUUUAUCAGCAAAAAAAAGUUUAUU